UUUCAUUUUUCUUACAGAAUAUGUUUUAUUUAUCAAUAUUAAAGUGAGCAGGCGACGAAAACACUGCCAAAGGUUAUUGCCAGUCGCCGCGAAAAAAAGGGAAGGGAGACAAUUGUAAUGUGAUCGUUGCACCAAUGGAAACAAGAUACCCACAUAAAUGAACCUAGAACCGGGUAUGCCAAAAAAUCAGUCGCGCAGCAGGUAUGUGAGGUAUUAAAUCGCUUGAAUCUACCUUACCCUACCUAAAGAGCUCUCUAGGGGCGGUAAGGGGCGAUAGAAAGGGUAUUUGAAGGUAUGUGUUGUUCGUGCAAAUGCAAAAUUUUAAACUUUUAUAUUUACUAGGUGCAAGAACAUUUGGGUCGGUCACUCGCUGUUCGCCCUUUAGAAAGUUUUCUUGAAUGAAACUAGGCCCAGGGGUCUCGAACAUGAGUCUACGUCUGAAUCUGCCUGCUACUCGAGGCGAGGGUGGACGACAUGGAACUGACUCACUCGGAUUAUGUGGGCGUGGUACGGGACUGACAGCCAAAAAGAAAAAAAUUUAACCUGGCUUCGAGCACGGCACGCCCGGCGUUGACCGCUGACUAAAUUGAACUCCCUGCUGUAUAUUUGGGCAGCAACAUCAUCGGAAUUUCGGCACACACAUACAUGUACGAGGCGCGCACCGUUGCUGCCCAUCUGCACAGCAGCACUCUAGGGUCAUCGACCCAGUUGUAGGCCAAGGGCAUUAGCAAGGGCAUCCGAUCCGCUCUCUUCCUAAUCUCUCUAUGAGCGAAUCGGUUGCCUAAUCAUGAUCGCUCAAUGGCGUUACCCCUGUUAGCUGUUAGUUUGUUACUCCUUACAUAUACAUCCACAAAUGCAUAAUCACUUAAUUGCAGUAAACGACCUAGUAAUGGUGGGGAAAGUGUUGUUCUUUAGUUGUGGGCUUGUCUAGGAGUUUUUUUUUUAUUUUUUCUUUCUUUUAAAUCACUUGAGGACUGAAAGUUUGUUGAUAUUUAUUUUAAGGUUUUUAUUUUGUUGAUGCACUUAUGAUUUGCUUUCUCGUGUAGUGACCAAUGGCCAAGUUGGUUAUUGUUCGGAAAAACCUCUGCAUUCCCUUUCUUGUUAAGCGACUAAUAAUCAUUCGUUCACCUUCGCGGCGAAUUCUAUAAGCUAGUUUGUUCACGCGCUCCCAUUCUCUUUUUUACUCUCCCACAUACCCACACCUGCAAGCUGCGCAAUACAGACAACAACGUUCCGUGUGUCUGCUAUAUACUUCUAGAACAUUCGACUAUGCUGCCCAAAAAUUUAGCUUCGCCAAAUUGACUUUCAAUCGCCUCGUCAAUUAAGUUAGAAGCGCCGAUCAGAAACUGCACAAUUUAAAAAGUUGAAACAGUGUUUUAAACUCGUGUCCGUUAUAUAAGACCCCGUUGCUUCUCUUGUAAAAUCCAAAACUCAAGUUCUCGAAUCGCGAGACAGCCACAAAGGCGAUCGCAUCCGAAUUGCAGAAGCAUUGAGUGGUGUGCCGGAUAAAAUGUGAAAGCGGUUAAUAUUAGAUAACGCGAGUAGCCAGCUUCUGCCAGCGGUUUCGCGUUGUUCCCUUCCGUGUGCUUGCACAUUCCGGA